rnacentral:lncRNA from 1 species
UCCUACAAUACUGCAAGCAAUAUGUAGAAAGAACCAUGAUGUCGGAUAGCUAAGAAAAUCUGGGCGUCUUUACCAUUAGCCGGAAAUGAACUCCUUCAACAGGAGAAGAUAAAAGGUUAGCGGGCUAGCUGCUGAAAUCUGAAGUACAUUAAAUUAAUAUAUUUUUUUUUUAUAAGUAAUUGACUGUGAUUUGCUGCAAUUGCUUACAUUCCAGAGUCAAAAUCCUAGUGUUCAGCGGUGCUCCAGAUUAGUCCAAGAGAAUUACAGAUCCAG